rnacentral:tRNA from 1 species
GCCUUUUUGAUUCUCGUUGAUGUCGAGAUGGUGUCAAGGUGAAAAAAUGCC